UAUGAACGCUGGCGGCGUGCCUAAUACAUGCAAGUCGAGCGAACAGACGAGGAGCUUGCUCCUCUGACGCUAGCGGCGGACGGGUGAGUAACACGUGGAUAACCUACCUAUAAGACUGGGAUAACUUCGGGAAACCGGAGCUAAUACCGGAUAAUAUAUUGAACCGCAUGGUUCAAUAGUGAAAGACGGUUUUGCUGUCACUUAUAGAUGGAUCCGCGCCGCAUUAGCUAGUUGGUAAGGUAACGGCUUACCAAGGCAACGAUGCGUAGCCGACCUGAGAGGGUGAUCGGCCACACUGGAACUGAGACACGGUCCAGACUCCUACGGGAGGCAGCAGUAGGGAAUCUUCCGCAAUGGGCGAAAGCCUGACGGAGCAACGCCGCGUGAGUGAUGAAGGUCUUCGGAUCGUAAAACUCUGUUAUUAGGGAAGAACAAAUGUGUAAGUAACUGUGCACGUCUUGACGGUACCUAAUCAGAAAGCCACGGCUAACUACGUG
rnacentral:rRNA from 1 species